rfam:Helianthus annuus linkage group 11, whole genome shotgun sequence.
AGGCCGUGAUGGGGACACUUGCGUAAUAGCUCCUUGAACCUUUCUCAUGUUUCAUAUAAGGAUUCCCCGUCCUCUUGUGAGUAUGUAUUAAUUUCAGCCAUAAAUUU